UCCCAGGUGGUCUAGUGGUUAGGAUUCGUGGCUCACAUCCACGCGGGACCGGGUUCGAUUCCCGGUCUGGGAA
rnacentral:tRNA from 1 species